rnacentral:rRNA from 1 species
AUGAACGCUGGCGGCGUGCCUCAUACCUGCAAGUCGCGCGAACGGACGAGAAGCUUGCUUCUCUGAUGUUAGCGGCGGACGGGUGAGUAACACGUGGAUAACCUACCUAUAAGACUGGGAUAACUUCGGGAAACCGGAGCUAAUACCGGAUAAUAUUUUGAACCGCAUGGUUCAAAAGUGAAAGACGGUCUUGCUGUCACUUAUAGAUGGAUCCGCGCUGCAUUAGCUAGUUGGUAAGGUAACGGCUUACCAAGGCAACGAUGCAUAGCCGACCUGAGAGGGUGAUCGGCCACACUGGAACUGAGACACGGUCCAGACUCCUACGGGAGGCAGCAGUAGGGAAUCUUCCGCAAUGGGCGAAAGCCUGACGGAGCAACGCCGCGUGAGUGAUGAAGGUCUUCGGAUCGUAAAACUCUGUUAUUAGGGAAGAACAUAUGUGUAAGUAACUGUGCACAUCUUGACGGUACCUAAUCAGAAAGCCACGGCUAACUACGUG